CACGUAGGGCGCAAGCGUUGUCCGGAAUUAUUGGGCGUAAAGAGCUCGUAGGCGGUCCGUCACGUCCGCUGUGAAAACCCAGGGCUCAACCCUGGGCUUGCAGUGGAUACGGGCAGACUAGAGGUAUGCAGGGGAGAACGGAAUUCCUGGUGUAGCGGUGGAAUGCGCAGAUAUCAGGAGGAACACCGGUGGCGAAGGCGGUUCUCUGGGCAUUACCUGACGCUGAGGAGCGAAAGUGUGGGGAGCGAACAGG
rnacentral:rRNA from 1 species